rnacentral:misc_RNA from 1 species
UGUAGCAAACAGCAGGACGCUUGUGUGUGUAUUAAAUUUAUGUAGUAAAAGAUUAGAUUUUGAGUUAGGGAGGCAACUCCAUGCUCGUGUUGUAAAGGGUAAUUGGAGGAACUUAAUUCUGGAUAGUGCCGUUGUUUCUUUCUAUGCCCAAUGCGGUGAGUUAACAGGCGCAUGCAAUGCAUUUGAUCAGAUGGCGGAAAGGGAUGUGGUUUGUUGGACG